GGUGAAUUACAAGAGGGAAUCCUUAUUUGUAGCUGAGGUCAAAAUCCAGAAGAUCAAUUUGAGUAACUACGAGGCUUUGGGAGAGGCUUGAGGGAGCGGAGAGGAGGUGUUCAAGGCGAACGAACCUGGAGUGUUGAAAGGCGAAUGGGUGCACAGGCAGAGGGUAACAGACAAAAUAUCAGUAAAACAAAACACUGACAGCGUGUGAUUAUA